rnacentral:lncRNA from 1 species
GUUUGGGCUUAAAAGGAGGAAAAGAGACGUGAAAGUGAGCUCUUACGAGUGAGGAGGUGAUAACGCCCAAUAGACUGGCCAUUGUGCAUUCAGCCCUCACAUACAGAAAAUACUGAAUUCUAGCCAAGAAGGACAGAGUAUUUUGCUUUGUUUGUGAACAGAAGAGCGUUGCCUUGAGGACUUCCUCAUUAAUGCCAAUAAAAGCAGAACCCAGACAAGCUUGCCUGACCGCACUUCCCAGCUGUAAGGAGCGGAUUCCAUCUGACUGUUAAACAGAACCACAUUUCCAAAGGGAUCUAUAAAAGGCAUGAUGAGGUAGCCAGAGUGGAUUCCCCGCACUUAUUAGACCAUACUCUGCAGAGCAUAAGUGGCAUCCUGAAAUACGUGUCCAUCAGAGAUGUGAAUUCUGGCUGCUGUUUUUAGACUACUUGUAAGUUUAUUCACAAGACCUAUUUGGAGCCCCCUAAGCAGAAUCUACAUUCAUCAAAGUCAUGCUUCUAUUGCUGUUUGUCCAGGAUUCUUGUAUCUACCUUUGCAUUGAACCAAAUCCUGAUUUUGAGUUGCCUACACUGAAAUAUGGAUAUGGCAUAUUUGUAAAUGGGAGAAGAAAGUUACAUGAGUCACAUGAAGAAUGUAUCAUACAUGUAUAUCACCUUCCACUACCUUUCUUGAUAUCUGGCACAUCUGAAACUUUACAGUUGAGAAGAAAUGAAAAAAUUAGAAAAACAGAUUGUCUUGAUGCAAAGCAUGGAGAACUGCAGCGCAUACCACUGCAGGCACUGCCGGGCAAGAUCUGAGCUGAGAAGAACACAACCUGUGUUCGCACUGGCUAACACACACUGGUGAUGUGCGUAUCUGUACAAGCUCCUCUGGAAGAAGUCUAGCUGCUGCUUGUUAAGCAGCUUCUUUUUUCCUGAUGCUUACUGGAAGGAAGCUGUAUAGUCUAGGAUCCUGGAGCUUAUCUAUUCACUUGCCAUCUCCUAUUAGAAGAGUGAAUCCAGGAUGUCCACUUCUGAAGGACACAGGUCUUUCUAGAAAGGAUAUACAGCUCUCCGUGUUAGUGAAUUUCAAGGACUCUUGCUGUUGGCUGGCAGCACUUCUCACCACCUUUAUCAGUAACAGGAGAGGGAGUCCUCUGUGUGGUCUGAGAUACCCCUGCCACCCAAGGGAAAGUCUUGGUGAAUUCUGUGAGCGCCACCUGAAAGCAGAGGGCUUUCUGCUGUAUGCUCUGGUGUGA